rnacentral:rRNA from 1 species
UACAUAGGGUGCGAGCGUUAAUCGGAAUUACUGGGCGUAAAGCGUGCGCAGGCGGUUCGUUGUGUCGGUGGUGAAAUCCCCGGGCUUAACCUGGGAAUGGCCAUGGAAACUGGCGAACUGGAGUGCGGCAGAGGGGGGUGGAAUUCCGCGUGUAGUGGUGAAAUGCGUAGAGAUGCGGAGGAACACCAGUGGCGAAAGCGACUUUCUGGUCCUUAACUGACGCUGAGGCGCGAAAGCAUGGGGAGCGAACGGG